rnacentral:rRNA from 1 species
CGUGUAGGCGGAGCUGCAAGUCAGAUGUGAAAUCCCGGGGCUCAACCCCGGAACUGCAUUUGAAACUGUAGCCCUUGAGUAUCGGAGAGGCAAGCGGAAUUCCUAGUGUAGCGGUGGAAUGCGUAGAGAUUAGGAGGAACACCAGUGGCGAAAGCGACUUACUGGCCUGCAACUGACACUGAAGCACGAAAGCGUGGGGAGCAAACA